GAAAUGCGAUAAGUAGUGUGAAUUGCAGAAUUCAGUGAAUCAUCGAAUCUUUGAACGCACAUUGCGCCCUUUGGUAUUCCAAAGGGCAUGCCUGUUCGAGCGUCAUUUGUACCCUCAAGCUUUGCUUGGUGUUGGGCGUCUUGUCUCCAGUUCGCUGGAGACUCGCCUUAAAGUAAUUGGCAGCCGGCCUACUGGUUUCGGAGCGCAGCACAAGUCGCGCUCUCUUCCAGCCAAGGUCAGCAUCCACAAAGCCUUUUUUCAACUUUUGACCUCGGAUCAGGUAGGGAUACCCGCUGAACUUAAGU
rnacentral:misc_RNA from 1 species